rnacentral:rRNA from 1 species
UACGAAGGGGGCUAGCGUUGCUCGGAAUCACUGGGCUUAAAGGUUGCGUAGGCGGGUUUUUAAGUCAGGGGUGAAAUCCUGGAGCUCAACUCCAGAACUGCCUUUGAUACUGAAGAUCUUGAGUUCGGGAGAGGUGAGUGGAACUGCGAGUGUAGAGGUGAAAUUCGUAGAUAUUCGCAAGAACACCAGUGGCGAAGGCGGCUCACUGGCCCGAUACUGACGCUGAGGCACGAAAGCGUGGGGAGCAAACAGG